GUCAGAGCGGUGGUAGCUCAGUCGGGUAAGCGCCGGCUUCUCACGCCAGAGGUGCGGCUUCGAAUCCCAGCGCUGACA
rnacentral:tRNA from 1 species